rnacentral:rRNA from 1 species
CCGGCGACCGGCGGACGGGUGCGUAACGCGUAUGUAACCUACCUUUGACAGGGGGAUAACAUCGAGAAAUUGGUACUAAUACCCCAUAACAUCACCGGAGGCAUCUUCGGUGGUUGAAAACUCAGGUGGUCAGAGAUGGACAUGCGUUGUAUUAGCUAGUUGGUGAGGUAACGGCUCACCAAGGCGACGAUACAUAGGGGGACUGAGAGGUCAACCCCCCACAUUGGUACUGAGACACGGACCAAACUCCUACGGAAGGCAGCAG